GGUUUCAUCAAAUGGAAAUAAUUGCUGGGCUUGUAAUCCUGGGAUCCCGGGUUCGAUUCCCGGUGGUGCCU
rnacentral:tRNA from 1 species